rnacentral:snRNA from 10 species
AUACUUACCUGGACGGGGUCAAUGGGCGAUCAACAAGGCCCAUGGCCUAGGUUGAUGACUUCCAUUGCACUUUGGAAGGGUGUUAACCUAAGGUCUACCUUAUAGGUGGAGCCUACGUCAUAAUUUGUGGUAGAGGGGGCCUGCGUUCGCGCGGCCCCUGA